rnacentral:rRNA from 1 species
ACCACAACAGGUGGAGCCUGCGGUUUAAUCGGACUCAACGCCGGGAAACUCACCAGAUAAGACAGCUGAAUGAUAGUCGGGCUGAAGACUCUACUUGACUAGCUGAGAGGAGGUGCAUGGCCGUCGUCAGUUCGUACUGUGAAGCAUCCUGUUAAGUCAGGCAACGAGCGAGACCCACGCCAACAGUUGCCAGCUCGUCCUCCGGGAUGGUGGGGACACUGUUGGGACCGCUCUGCUAAAGAGGAGGAAGGAAUGGGCAACGGUAGGUCAGCAUGCCCCGAAUUAUCUGGGCUACACGCGGGCUACAAUGGGUGGGACAAUGGGUAUCGACACCGAAAGGUGAAGGCAAUCUCCUAAACCCAUCCGUAGUUCGGAUUGUGGGCUGCAACCCGCCCACAUGAAGCUGGAAUCUGUAGUAAUCGUGUCUCAAAAUGGCACGGUGAAUAUGUCCCUGCUCCUU